AUGUGCACAAUGUGAGCCUGAUCAAAGGCUACUGGGCUAGCCCACUAACCUGCUCCCUGAGGCGAGCCGAGCUACUGUAUCUCUAUGAGCGAGAUAUAACCACAAGGUAGUCACGACACCGUUCAAUGGACCAUUUUUAGAUUUUUCUUAAAACAUAUAUUCCUUUUAGAGUCGUGGUCCUUAAGAAAAAAAAACAAGUGUUUUUUUUAUAACAAAAAAAACAAGUGUUGCGACCACUUGAAGCCAUUUUUUCGAGAAAAUUUAAACAUUGGAUAUGAUUGAAAUUGCUGAAUAUAGUAAAAAAAUGUUUACAAAUUUUAAAAAAACAUGAGCUCUCGAAAAAGGCAUGUGGCCAACUUUAUAAUUACUAGUACAAAUGCCCGUGCGUUGCACCGGG
rnacentral:lncRNA from 1 species